AAAAAAGGGAUUUAUGCUCAAGCUAACAAGUGCAUAUGCUCAUGAUGAAGAUAUGGACCCCACUUAAUACCUUGAGAACAGGCUCAAGUACCUUGCGGAUCAGAAGGCUGAAGGGAUUAACUCAUACCCGCACAACAGAAAUGAUAGUAGGGUCAUUACAACACGUUUAAAUUGAAGAUAAUUGAUCCAAGUUUCAUAAGUGCUAAUUCAAUAUAGGGACUCUCUUCCCAGAAAUUAAAGAGUCAUUACAACAUAUUUAAAUUGAAGAUAAUUGAAAUCCCCUGCUUGCUUUAUUUGAAUUGUUUUUUAACUGCUAUGCGAGCUGUUGGUUCAACUCUUCUCAUGAUUUGGUAAUUUCUUUUGUUGAUUCAGGUUGGAAGAAUUUGCUUGCUGGAACAGAUUAGCUUACAAGGGAAUUGUAAUUAUUCAGUUUUUAGGAUGAAUCAAUUUUAAUUUGGAUUUCUAGUAGUGAAGAAAGACGUCUGAAGCUGUCUUCUGUCUCAAGAAUUAUUCCUGGGCAAAAAACUGCUGAUUUUCAACGUUACCUGCAUCCUGAGAAGGACUAUUUAUCUUUUUCACUAAUUUAUAAUAACAGAAAGCGGUCCCUUGAUUAUUUGAUUUACAAAGAUAAAGUUGAGGCAGAGGCGUGGAUUGCUGGUCUUAAAGCACUGAUAACUUCUGGUCGAGGUAGUCGAUCCAAAAUUGAUGGAUGGAGUGAUGGUGGCCUCAAUUUUGAUAUUCAAAUGACCAACAUUCCAAGGAGAAUAUUCUCAUACAUAUUUGAGAACCAUGCCAAUCAAGUGUGUCGGUGGGAAUGUGCAUACGAUUUUCUACCUUUAUGUGCAAUUCCAGCAACGGGAGAAGCAAAUUCAAUUUAUGUGUGGAGACAUACCCCCACUCCCCAUCUCCACCUGCAGCGCCGCAUAGCACACCGGAUUAUUGCUGUCUUCGCCGGUCGCAUUCGUCAACGGAGUCAACGCCACCGGAAAACCAGUUGCAUAUUGCCCUCGUGGAGACGCAUCCACAGGUGAAACCUUUAUCGCAACUCGUUUGCCGCUGCAUCGUCCUCCCAAUGCGUCGUCGUGGAUGUGUUUUAUGCCACAGAUGUGUCUUACCGAAGAUGGUUGAGGAGAAGAGGGUUGCGUGACACCUUCAAAGACUCACGUCGCAGUUCUCUUCCACAGAAAUGGUGAUUGGUCUACUUGACUUCAAUGAAGACUCACCUUGUACCACUGACAUCACACUUCUAUUCAAGGGGCCUGAUGGUGUAACAAUGUGGGAUCAGAGUGGCGAAUUCAAUCACCGUAUAAGGGUAAUAAAAGCGUGUCAGUGACCUCAACCCUUUGACAAAGGAGAAGCUGGAUCCGGGUGUAGGCAUAGUCACCGUCGAUGGAACAAAUGGCGGCGUCCUGGUGAGAUGAAAAGUAACCCGACGAAGACGCAAAUAGUGAGAAGAAUGAGGAUUAGGUAUGCUUGGUGGUGUGCCGUGUUGAGUUCGUAAUUGGCAUGAAAGUCUCUUGUUAGGUAUUUUCUGGCUGAAAUUGAGGGUCCUGAGCAAAAAUCUGAUUCAGAGGCUGAAAAGGACUGCAGAUGCUGUUGGAUUCUGACCUCCCUGCACUCGAAGUGGAUUUUCUGGAGCUACAGAAGCCCAAUUGGCGCGCUCUCAAUGGCGUUGGAAAGUCGACAUCCUGGGCUUUCCAGAAAUGUAUAAUAGUCCAUACUUUGCCCGAGAUUUGAUGGUUCAAACCGGCGUUGCAAAUCAGCUUCAGAAUUUCCAGCGUUUAACGCUGGAACUGGCAUAAAAAUUGGAGUUAAACGCCCAAACUGGCAUAAAAGCUGGCGUUUAACUCCAGAAAGAGUCUCUACACGAAAAUGCUUCAAUGCUCAGCCCAAGCACACACCAAGUGGGCCCAGAAGUGGAUUUUUCUGUCAUUUACUCAAUUCUGUAAACCCUAGGUUACUAGUUCACUAUUAAUAGGAUCUUUUGACAUUGUAUCUGUACCUCAUGACACUUUACACGUUUCUCAUUGUAUCUUCUACGGCAUGAGUCUCUAAACCCCAUGAUUGGGGGUGAGGAG